CAAUAGCGUAUAUUUAAGUUGUUGCAGUUAAAAAGCUCGUAGUUGGAUUUUGGGUUGGGGCGACCGGUCCGCCGUUUCGGUGUGCACUGGUGUCCCCUUCCUUUCUGCCGGGGACGGCGUUUGCUCUUAAUUGGGCGGCGUCGGAGUCGGCGUUGUUACUUUGAAAAAAUUAGAGUGUUCAAAGCAAGCCAUCGCUCUGAAUACAUUAGCAUGGAAUAACAUGAUAGGACUCUGGUCUUAUUUUGUUGGUUUCCGAGACUGGAGUAAUGAUUAAGAGGGACAGUCGGGGGCAUCCGUAUUUCAUUGUCAGAGGUGAAAUUCUUGGAUUUAUGAAAGACGAACUUCUGCGAAAGCAUUUGCCAAGGAUGUUUUCAUUAA
rnacentral:rRNA from 1 species